rnacentral:piRNA from 1 species
UGCAGCAGGGCUGGGACUAGGAUGGACC